CUAAAAUUUACUUGUUAUUUGUCCCAAGUUCACUGUACAGUAAAUAAAGGUAAAACAGAAGUGUAUGUCUUUCGUAGUGUUUAAUUUCGGUAUAUUCAUCAAGCUCUUUCAUCACCGCAAUUCUAAGUGACGUCAUUCUGCAUACGAUAAUGAACCAAGAAGAUUGGAAGCUGAGAUAAAAUCACCAGCAAGGACUGGCUUUUCGGUCAGAUGAUUGUGUGAACUUGAAAAAUUAGAACAUACUACGAAAGUACUGGUUCCAAGUCCCUGUUUCACUUACCUUUCUACCGUGGAUUUAAGAAUAUUCUCAAGUGCGUGUUCCUUCGUGUUACAUUGGAUUCCAGAUUGUUGAAUAGUUAAUUUUAAUGUAUAUUUAUUUAAGAUUUACGAUUUUAAAACUGUGCAAUACUUUAAAGAAAGGUUUUGUUUUUAUAGAUGUAAUUUUAACCUUUUCCUCUUUGGUAAAAUAUAUUGGUUCCAAUGCA